rnacentral:snRNA from 1 species
AUACUUACCUGGCAGGGGAGAUACCAUGAUCACGAAGGUGGUUUUCCCAGGGCGAGGCUUAUCCAUUGCACUCCGGAUGUGCUGACCCCUGCGAUUUCCCCAAAUGUGGGAAACUCGACAAAAAAAA